rnacentral:rRNA from 1 species
UACAGAGGGGGCAAGCGUUAUUCGGAAUUAUUGGGCGUAAAGGGCGCGUAGGCGGCCUGGCAAGUGACGGGUGAAAGCCCUCGGCUUAACCGAGGAACUGCCUGUCAGACUGUUAGGCUUGAGACCGGGAGAGGUGAGUGGAAUUCCCAGUGUAGCGGUGAAAUGCGUAGAUAUUGGGAGGAACACCAGUGGCGAAGGCGGCUCGCUGGGACGGUACUGACACUGAGGCGCGAAAGCGUGGGGAGCGAACAGG